GCCAAAAGAAAAGUCUGACCAAUAUACAAACCACCAAUCAUACAAAACAAACCAUUUGACAUGAUCAGUAGAUGCGAUCGAACAUCAAACCAGCACCUUAACCACAGUACCGCAAGGGAACACAACCACCACAAGCACAAAACAGCAAAGAUAAAACCUUGUACCUUUUGCAUCAUGGUUUAGCAAGAAAUUUAAGAGACAAAGCGCACCUUUUAUCUUUAGCCUCUAACACCCGAAACCAGAUGAGCUACUUCAAAGCAGCCCUAAGAGCCAAUCCUUCUCUGUAGCAAAAGAGUGGAAAGACUUUGAAGUAGAAGUGAAACGCCUAUCGAACCUGGAGAUAGCUGGCUACCUAAAAAUGAAUAUAAGUUCUACUUUAGGACAAAACUACACCAUAUAGUUUCCUAAAGAAAUUCAAUAGGGGUACAGCUCUAUUGAAACUGGAUACAACCAAACCUUGAGAGAAAACCAACCAUCAUUAACCAGUAGGCCCUAAAGCAGCCACCUAAAAAAAUAUCGUUCAAGAAUUACAUACAAAAAUACCAAACCAAAUAAACAACUCCAAACGAACUAAAGGUAAAUCUAUCUGUAUAGAUCAACUUAUGCUAAAACUAAUAAUAAGAAAUAUUCUCCACGCACGACUGCCAACUAGAAAUAGAAAACCUACUAGUAGUUAACAGACCACAAAAGGAAAUAAAGUACACAAUACACAACUUUUCCAACAAACUGUGACCCCGACACAGGAGUGCCUAAAGGAAAGAUAAAACAUUACAAAAGGAACUCGGCAACCAACAACUCCAACUGUUUACCAAAAACAUAACCUUUAGCAAAUACCAAUAUUAAAGGCAACGCCUGCCCAGUGAGAUCUCUUUAACGGCCGCGGUACCCUAACCGUGCAAAGGUAGCGUAAUCAUUUGUCUAUUAAUUGUAGACCAGUAUGAAAGGCUACAUGAGAGUUGAACUGUCUCUUGUAAUAAAUCAAUAAAACUGAUCUCCUAGUCCAAAAGCUAGAAUACCCAUAUAAGACCAGAAGACCCUGUGAAGCUUAAACUAACCUGUAUUAAACCAAUUAACAGGUACUUUCAGUUGGGGCGACUUUGGAACGAAACAAAACUUCCAAACACCAUGAGCCUUACCUCAUAUUUAAGGCCGACAAGCCAUUAUAAGACCCAGUCUUACUGAUUAAUGAACCAAGUUACUCCAGGGAUAACAGCGCUAUCUUCUUCAAGAGCCCAUAUCAAAAAGAAGGUUUACGACCUCGAUGUUGGAUCAGGACACCCUAAUGGUGCAGCCGCUAUUAAAGGUUCGUUUGUUCAACGAUUAACAGUCCUACGCGAUCUGAGUUCAGACCGGAGCAAUCCAGGUCAGUUUCUAUCUAUAUUACUGCUCCAUCUAGUACGAAAGGACCGAUAAAGCUAAGCCAAUACCACAAGCACGCUUAAAAUACCAAAAAAUAAAUAAACUCAAUAUUCACGUAUAACUAAACUACAAAGCCCAGAAAAGGCUAAUUAAGGACACCACAGACAUAAUACCUUAAUAU
rnacentral:rRNA from 1 species